CGAACGGGUGAGUAACACGUGGGUGAUCUGCCCUGCACUUUGGGAUAAGCCUGGGAAACUGGGUCUAAUACCGAAUAUGAUCACGCUUCUCAUGGGGUGUGGUGGAAAGCUUUUGCGGUGUGGGAUGGGCCCGCGGCCUAUCAGCUUGUUGGUGGGGUAAUGGCCUACCAAGGCGACGACGGGUAGCCGGCCUGAGAGGGUGUCCGGCCACACUGGGACUGAGAUACGGCCCAGACUCCUACGGGAGGCAGCAGUGGGGAAUAUUGCACAAUGGGCGCAAGCCUGAUGCAGCGACGCCGCGUGAGGGACGACGGCCUUCGGGUUGUAAACCUCUUUCAGCACAGACGAAGCGCAAGUGACGGUAUGUGCAGAAGAAGCACCGGCCAACUACGUGCCAGCAGCCGCGGUAAUACGUAGGGUGCGAGCGUUGUCCGGAAUUACUGGGCGUAAAGAGCUCGUAGGUGGUUUGUCGCGUUGUUCGUGAAAACUCACAACUCAAUUGUGGGCGUGCGGGCGAUACGGGCAGACUGGAGUACUGCAGGGGAGACUGGAAUUCCUGGUGUAGCGGUGGAAUGCGCAGAUAUCAGGAGGAACACCGGUGGCGAAGGCGGGUCUCUGGGCAGUAACUGACGCUGAGGAGC
rnacentral:rRNA from 1 species